rnacentral:lncRNA from 1 species
UUAAAUUUAGCCCGAGAGGCGUUGAUGUGACUUUGACCUCGGUCAAUGGAGGCAGCCAAACUUGUUUGUGCUCAUACGAUUUUUGUUGGCUACAGGCAAGAUACCUUGCAAUAGAGAACGCAAUAUAUUACGGAUAUUGCGUUUCAGCCGGGCGAGAUAUUAUGUUUGGUCCGUUACACACACACACACACACACACACACACACACACACACACACACACACACACACACACACACACACACACACACACACACACACACACACACACACACUGCCGCUAGCCAGGCUGGAUGUAGGCAUGGUUUGGGCACCGAGCAUCACUUGUUUACAUUAAUUAAGGCAUCUUACCUCGAGGCACACUGUGACUGGAGCCAGGCCGCUUAUUAUCAUGCAAAUUGAC